rnacentral:rRNA from 1 species
UAAGGAAUAUCGGUCAAUGGACGCAAGUCUGAACCAGCCAUGCCGCGUGGAGGAUUAAGGCCCUCUGGGUUGUAAACUCCUUUUAUCUGGGAAGAAAUGUACUUUUUCUUGAGUACUUGACGGUACCAGAGGAAUAAGCACCGGCUAACUCCGUGCCAGCAGCCGCGGUAAUACGGAGGGUGCAGGCGUUAUCCGGAUUCACUGGGUUUAAAGGGUGCGUAGGUGGGCAGGUAAGUCAGUGGUGAAAUCUCCGGGCUUAACCCGGAAACUGCCGUUGAUACUAUUUGUCUUGAAUAUUGUGGAGGUAAGCGGAAUAUGUCAUGUAGCGGUGAAAUGCUUAGAUAUGACAUAGAACACCAAUUGCGAAGGCAGCUUACUACACAAUCAUUGACGCUGAGGCACGCAAGCGUGGGGAUCAAACA